rnacentral:rRNA from 1 species
UACGUAGGGGGCAAGCGUUGUCCGGAUUUAUUGGGCGUAAAGCGUGCGCAGGCGGCUUUGCAAGACAGAUGUGAAAUCCCCGGGCUUAACCUGGGAACUGCAUUUGUGACUGCAUGGCUGGAGUGCGGCAGAGGGGGAUGGAAUUCCGCGUGUAGCAGUGAAAUGCGUAGAUAUGCGGAGGAACACCGAUGGCGAAGGCAGUCCCCUGGGCCUGCACUGACGCUCAUGCACGAAAGCGUGGGGAGCAAACAGG